UUUAUUGUUUUGUUAGUUAUUUCAUGUCUAGUUCCUUUAUUAAAGAACAUGAAUAACCACCACGCUGCAUUUUGGUCCGCUUCUCCUUCACCACAGGAAAACCCUUAUACAUACAUCAGUAUGCAACACCAUUUGUUCAAACAACAUUCUCUCCCAAAUCAAAUCAAAUCAAAUUGUAUUUGUCACAUGCGCCUAAUACAAUUAGGUGUAGACCUUACAGUGAAAUGCUUACUUACAAGCCCUUAACCAAUAAUACCGUUUUUUUUUUUUUUAAGUGUUAAGAAAGUAUUUACUAAAAUAACUGAAUAACAUUUAUUUUUUUUUAUAAAUAAAGAAGCAGCCAAAAACUUACAGUAGCGAGGUUAUAUACUGGAGGUACCGGUACAGAGUAAAUGUGAGGAGGCUAUAUACAGGAGGUACCGGUACAGAGUAAAUGUGAGGAGGCUAUAUACAGGAGGUACCAGUACAGAGUAAAUGUGAGGAGGCUAUAUACAGGAGGUACCGGUACAGAGUAAAUGCGAGGAGGCUAUAUACAAGUGGUACCGGUGCAGAGUAAAUGUGAGGAGGCUAUAUACAGGAGGUACCGGUACAGCACUAUUGGCCCAGCAUCAUCCGUGUUUGGCCGGGGUAGGCCGUCUUUGUAAAUAAGAAUUUGUUCUUAACCGACUUGCCUAGUUAAAUAAAGGUUAAAUAAAUAAACGCAUUAAGAAGGAAAUAAAUUCCACAAAUUAAUUUUUAAGAAGGCACACCUGUUAAUUGAAAUGCAUUCCAGGUGACUACCUCAUGAAGCUGUUUGAGAGAAUGCCAAGAGUGUGC
ensembl:lncRNA